AGAUAUGGAGGAUCAACAUCAAAAAAACAAAUUAGAGCUUGAAAAUAAAAACUCAGAAUUGCAGCAGAAGAUGAAAGAAUUCGGUAA